GCCGCGACCCCCGCCUCCUCCCCUGCCGCCGCCGCCUCCUGGGCCUCGCCCUCACCCUCUCCCCGCGACUCCCGCCUCCUCCCCUGAUGCCGCAUCUAGGGCCUCGCCCCCAGUCCUCCUUCUCCGCCAUCACCGAUUCGGCGGAGCUCGUGGUCGACCGGCGGUGAGCAUGGCCUCGAUCUGGAGAAGGAGAGGGCAGGAGUGUGGCCUCGAUCUGGAGAAGGGGAGCAGCCUCACACAUCUUCAGCCCUCUCAAUCAGGAGGACAUUCAGCUCAUGGCAGAUAUAGGAUUGGAUGUCUACAGAUUCUCAAUUGAGGUCAGAUCCCGUUUAACCCCCUUCCUGCCCUGAUUGCUUGUGCCAUGAUUUGCUCCGUGUUUGGAUGAGGAAGUAGACCAGCAGGAGGAAGAGAGGAUCUCGGGACGCGCUCCUUAUUGGACUCACUGUAGUAUAAAUAGCUCAUGGCAGCUAUGGGAUUGGAUGCCUACAGAUUCUCAAUUGCAUGGUCUCGGAUUCUCCCAAAUGGCACCGGUGAGGUCAACCACGCAGGCAUCGACCACUACAACAAGGUCAUUGAUGCACUCUUAGCAAAAGGUGAGCUUUUGUACACUCUAACGUUUCUGUUGCAGGCAGAGCAGAAUGAAGAGAUGGGGAUGUUGUUGGAUGUGAUAUGGUAUGAGCCUGUCUCAAACUCCACAGCUGAUGUUGAGUCUGCUAAGAGAGCACAAGAGUUCCAGUUGGGAUGAAGAUGAUGGUUCUUCUUCUCCUAUUAGAGUACCACUGCCUCACCAGGAUUGGUGUUGAACAUAAUAAGCCAAGUUCUUGCUGGGUAGAGCAUGAACCACCAGGGGACGGUGCCAGUCGGGUGUUGCGGAGGGAUUUCUUCUGGAGCUUGGCGUGGUGCCCUUUUGUGAUUUGUUUUCUUUUGUGCUGCUUGAAGUGGUACUCUAACGUUUAACUUUGUUAUGAAAUUACAAGUUAGUUACUUUUAAGUCAAGUAUACAUAUUAACUGAAGCACAUCUGAAUGUUAUUUUAUCUUACUUGGCAUAAUAGUGGCAGUGGUUCUGAAGCCUACCCAAACUAUGAAUCAGUAUGGUAAUUCUAACAUGUGGUGCUCUAAUAUUCACUUAUUCAGUUGUGUUCUGGAAUGACCUCUUUCUGCUUCCUAUUGUAAGCUUUCUUUGUUUCGUUUGUCUGCUGUUUUCUUCCUUCUAUAUUUUUCUUUCUUUCUUUGGUGCUGGCGGCCAAAUCCAGAGGCUAAUUUGUUUCCUUUCAAGGAGGAAGUAAUAUAUGAGUUUUCUUUUCACUUCCUUGCUCUUGCUUAAAUACAAUAUCUUGUUUAUCGACAAACGAAUCAACUGAGAUUCGCUUUUGUUCUGCAAAUGGGAUUCCAAUCAAAUUUUAGUUUAACAUUUUCUAGACCGACAUUUUUCCUCAAAAUAUUCUUGGCUGCUUUGGUUGUAAGCAUACUGAAGGUAGUAUUCCAUUGUCACUGACAUUUUACAGUUAAAUGUAUUUCUAAUUAAGUUUCUACAGAAAUAUGGUUGUCGAGUAGCAUCAUUGAUUUAUUAUAAGGUACUUAUUGCUGUUAGUGUCCCUUUCUGCAUGCUGAUGGGAUAGUCAAUUGGGUUCAUCAUGAUGGAUGUUUACGGUACCAUAAUUGUUGGAUGCCCUUUUUUUAUCAAGUGGUUAUAAAUUCUGUCAAACCCAUGUCUUUACGUGAUUUUCUAACAUGGAAGUAGUCACUUCCUGGAUAUCGGAGUAUGUACAUAGAACUGAACUGCUUAUCGCCCCAUGUUUUGCUAGAGAAAAAUCAAGCACGAGACAUGUGUUAGGAUGAUGGAUUUCAUAUUAAAAAGAAGGAUGUAAUAUAUGAGCACUUGGAAUGCAGUAGAAAUAUGUUUAUAGUAGUGUAAUUGUAGGGUUCCUGAUUUGUGGUGCAUAGACCACCUGGAUUAAUUAGCUUUUGUAGUUCCUGUAUUUUAUUUCUUGCUACAUUUUUCUGGGUCAUUUCAAAAUUUCUGCUCUACACAGAAUCUUAAGAAGUUUGGGUAUGCACACAGGUCCUAAAAAUAAUGAGCUGUUUAGUGCAAUGCAUGUGACCUGAUUACUUCUUUUCUUUUCUUUUUUACAUUGUACGUUCUUGGAGGUCGCCUUUUCUCUCUUCUGUUGAUCAAGUUUUCUUCUUCUUUCUUCUGCUUAUUAGGGUUUCUUCCUUUCCUUUUUUUUGGAAAUUGCAUUUAUUGUGUGACCUAUGUAUUGUCAUUAUUCUUGCUUCAUUGGUCGUGUUUAUAUUCUGGGUUUGGCUCGACAUUGUGUUUUCUUUUGCCUCAUGCCAUUCAUAUUUUGUGAUUGCGUGUGUAUCAAGGUGUGCUUUGCCUGCUUUUUGAAGCUUGUGUGAAUUGACCAUGGUCUGUUCUUGUUGGGAUAAAGCCUGAACUGCCAGGUACACUUUGCUUAUUGUCCUUAUUCUGGUUCUCCUUGGCAUCUUUCUAUCAGUGGAGAUCCUUGUUUUCAAAUAGCAGGGAUAGAGGGACAGAAAAGUUAUAUCUGUCGCGGCGCUGCAAGUGUUGCCCCCCUCCUCCCCAAGGGCAAGGUGAAGGAAGGUGCAUGUGUGGUUUUUCUGCAGCUCGCAGCGAGGAUUG